rnacentral:lncRNA from 1 species
CUCAUCUAUAAGCAAGGACACCUCUGGAAGACGCAAGGCCUGGAUGUCACAGCCAGCCUUAUCAAUAAACAAUCUUCUGCCUUGACAGACGGAAGAGGAAGGGCCAAUUCAAUGAAUACUCAGAUCAAGUGUCUGUCUGGAAAGCUGGCAGUCUUCCAGAAAUACAAUUAGGGCCCAUUCCAGUGGAACAGAAGUGCUACUUUGGGGGUGGACUGAAACAAGUUGCUGGGCUUCCAUUGGCCAUUGCCACUUGCUUGUCGUUGUGAGGAGGGGCCGUGCCUCCACAGGCCCAUACCUGUAACCUGACGAUACUGUUGUGAGCGGGAAUGGAGGAAGUGCAUGGAAGCCCCUCAGCACGAUGCAUAGUGAACAGACAAGCUGUGAACCUUGGGAGUUAUCACCAUGUGUGAUGAUGCUGGUGAAGAAAGCCUGCACUGAGGAGGCUGUCAGCCUGGGUUUGAAUCCCCUCAUUUGGAAUAUAAUCUUGGCAAAGUC